AUGAAAUGGUCAGAGCAGGUGUAUGGAAAAGACAUUAUGAUGUCAGAAUUUGAUGCAACAGUAUUAAUUUGUGUGUGGAAAGCGAGGGCUUCUGCCAAGAAGUGGGACCUGCCUUCAGGCAUGCUGCACCUUGGCAGGGAGACACUCAGAACCUCCACGGGAGGACUCCAGAAUGCUGGGGACAUGACAGUCCACACGGAGCAAGAUUUAUUUUCUUCUUCCCAUCUUGGGGCUGAUCAUAAAGAGGGGAUGGGAGCUUUGUCGCAAAGACUUCAGUCCUCUGAUCCCCAUGGAGCUGCAGGGUGGAUAAACCAGGGACUUUCUGCCCAAGGAAGAAAUGCUGUGAAUGCAGCUGAUAAUGGUGAUGGAUGAGGACAUGAGGUAUCGUGGCCAGUGAAUCAGCCAAGUUACCAGAGGCUGCCAUGGUACAGGCUCCGUCUGAAUGAUGGAGAACAUGGAGUUUGGAAUCUUUUCUGUUCUGGGACAAUGAAUGACGUUUGUUAGUAGGCUAGGAGCAUUGUAGGACAUGGUAACGGUGGAAACAGAGAACUGGAGUCAGACAAGGCUCUAGACAAGGUGCAGAGCCCUGAAGUGCUCACUACACGGUAGGAGGCCGACUGGAGAGGUCCCGGGCUCCCUUGGCUGCGGUGCCAGGACUCUGUGGGUCUGCUGAGUGACCUGGACCUGCCCUUCAGUGCAAGUCAUGGUGAUCCUUCCCUAUAGAGUUAUUCAUUACUAACUCUGUACCUAAAAACCACCCAGUCUGCUGAAAAUGACUGCCUUCCCUGGAGUAGCUCUCAUCACGUAGCUCAUCACGCACAAAUGUGGUGACGUCAGAGGCUGUCGGUAGUGAAGGGCACAGCUCUGCUGGGGUCUGUGUAUCCCUUCUCCCCUCACUCUUUCUAACGGUGAACUGGCUUUCCCUAUCACCUUCUUCAGUCACCUUGGGAAUAUUAUUACACAGUGUGAUGAUUAAUCUUGACUAUCCACUUGACAGAAUCUACAAUUGUCUUGGGGAAAAAAAAAACCUGGGCAUGACUGUGAGCUAAUUUCUUGAUUGACUUAGUUGAAGGAGGAAGACCCACCUAAAUGUGGAUUUUAACACUCCAUGGAGUGAAGACUGGCUAAAUGGCGACAGUUAAGCUGAGCACCAGCCCUUAACUUAACUGCUUCUCUGUUUCAGGGUCUCUCAAGCACUGCUGCCACCUGCUCUCCACCAUCCUGAACUGCACCCUGACCUUUUGAGCUAGAAUAAACCCUCCCUCCAUUAAGUUGCUCUUGUUGGC
rnacentral:lncRNA from 1 species